GAGUGUAUGCAGAUAUAAGAGAACAAAGAUUAAGGCCAUCUUUUAAUGGAGUGUAUGCAGGUAUAAGAGAACAAAGAUAAAGGCCAUCUUUAAAUGGAGUGUAUGCAGGUAUAAAAGAACAAAGAUUAAGGCCAUCUUUUAAUGGAGUGUAUGCAGGUAUAAGAGAACAAAGAUAAAGGCCAUCUUUAAAUGGAGUGUAUGCAGGUAUUAAAGAUCAAAGAUUAAGGCCAUCUUUUAAUGGAGUCUAUGCAGGUAUAAGAGAACAAAGAUAAAGGCCAUCUUUUAAUGGAGUGUAUGCAGGUAUAAGAGAACAAAGAUAAAGGCCAUCUUUAAAUGGAGUGUAUGCAGGUAUAAAAUAUCAAAGAUAAAGGCCAUCUUUUAAUGGAGUGUAUGCAGGUAUAAGAGAACAAAGAUAAAGGCCAUCUUUUAAUGGAGUGUAUGCAGGUAUAAAAGAUCAAAGAUAAAGGCCAUCUUUUAAUGGAGUGUAUGAAGGUAUAAGAGAACAAAGAUAAAGGCCAUCUUUUAAUGGAGUGUAUGCAGAUAUAAGAGAACAAAGAUAAAGGCCAUCUUUAAAUGGAGUGUAUGCAGGUAUAAAAGAUCAAAGAUAAAGGCCAUCUUUUAAUGGAGUGUAUGCAGGUAUAAGAGAACAAAGAUAAAGGCCAUCUUUUAAUGGAGUGUAUGCAGGUAUAAGAGAACAAAGAUAAAGGCCAUCUUUUAAUGGAGUGUAUGCAGGUAUAAAAGAUCAAAGAUAAAGGCCAUCUUUUAAUGGAGUGUAUGCAGGUAUAAGAGAACAAAGAUAAAGGCCAUCUUUUAAUGGAGUGUAUGCAGGUAUAAGAGAACAAAGAUAAAGGCCAUCUUUUAAUGGAGUGUAUGCAGGUAUAACAGAUCAAAGAUAAAGGCCAUCUUUUAAUGGAGUGUAUGCAGGUAUAAGAGAACAAAGAUAAAGGCCAUCUUUAAAUGGAGUGUAUGCAGGUAUAAGAGAACAAAGAUAAAGGCCAUCUUUUAAUGGAGUGUAUGCAGGUAUAAGAGAACAAAGAUAAAGGCCAUCUUUUAAUGGAGUGUAUGCAGGUA